CACUGUGAAAGAGAGAAAAAAAAAAAACAAUCAAAGAAGGAAGGAAAACCUACGAUUGUAGAGGAGGAUGAUCCUGAGCUGUUCAAACAAGCUGUAUAUAAACAGAAAAUGAAACUCUUUGCUCAGCUGGAAAUUAAAAGGAAAGAGAGAGAAGCCAAAGAGAUGCAUGAAAGGAAACGGCAAAGGGAAGAAGAGAUUGAAGCUCAAGAAAAAGCCAAACGAGAAAGAGAGUGGCAGAAAAACUUUGAGGAAGGUCGAGAUGGUCGUGUGGACAGCUGGCGAAACUUCCAAGUCAAUACAAAGGGGAAGAAAGAGAAGAAAAAUCGGACCUUCCUGAGACCACCGAAAGUAAAAAUGGAGCAGCAUGAGUGA
rnacentral:lncRNA from 1 species